rnacentral:rRNA from 1 species
AUUGAACGCUUGCGGCAGGCCUAACACAUGCACGUCGAACGAGUGGCGGACGGGUGAGUAAUGUCUUGUAAACUGCCCGAUGGUGGGGGAUAACUACUGUAAACGGUAGCUAAUACCGCAUACCAUCGGAUGUGCCCAGUUGGGAUUAGCUAGUAGGUGGGGUAAUGGCUCACCUAGGCGACGAUCCCUAGCUGCUCUGAGAGGAUUACAAGCCACACUGGAACUGAGACAAGGUCCAGAAUCCGAAGGGAGGCAGAAGUGGGGAAUAUGGCACAAUGGGCGAAAGCCUGAUGAAGCCAUGCCGCGUGUAUGAAGAAGGCCUGCGGGUUGUAAAGUACUUUCAGCGAGGAGGCGUUACUCGCAGAAGAAGCACCGGCUAACUCCGUGCCAGCAGCCGCGGUAAUAC